rnacentral:rRNA from 1 species
UACAGAGGUCUCAAGCGUUGUUCGGAUUCAUUGGGCGUAAAGGGUGUGUAGGUGGCGCCGUAAGUCGGGUGUGAAAUUUCGGAGCUUAACUCCGAAACUGCAUUCGAUACUGCGGUGCUUGAGGACUGGAGAGGAGACUGGAAUUCAUGGUGUAGCAGUGAAAUGCGUAGAGAUCAUGAGGAACACCAGUGGCGAAGGCGGCUCACUGGCCCGGUACUGACGCUGAGGCACGAAAGCGUGGGGAGCAAACAGG